CUCACUCUCUGCCUGGUGUUCGUGGAGGUUGUGGUGACGGCUGAAGGCGCGGAUUGCAUGCUGGUGUGUGGUGUGGUGUGGUGAUGCAGUUAAAGCGGAAUGGUGAUACCUCCUCCUCAUCAGCUAAUCAACACUUCAACGACGGGUUGUGGUGACGGCUGGAGGUGCGGGGAUUGAAGGCUGGUGUGGUGUGGUGUGGUGUGGUGUGGUGACGCAGCUCGCGGAAUGGUGACUCUCUCUUCAUAAGCUACAGUUUUCCACACUUCAAUAGUUAGCCUGGUUUGUUUGUGGUGGUGGUGGUGGUGGCGGCGGCGGCGGCGGCUUCCUCGGCUGAAUGGUGACGAUGGGAAACUGUGGUGACGGCGGGAGGCGGAACGCUGGUGCUGGUGCCGCGGCAAGCGUAAUGGUGACGCCACGCGGUGUGUGCGGCUCGGUAAUGGUGUUGUAGUAUCGCUGGUGUGUUGUUAUUGUAACGGUGUGUGUCAGACUCGUUGGUUGGUUGUUUCCGGUUAAUGAGCAGCAGUGUUUAAGUCAAGGGACUCCCAAAGUAUAAAAUAUUUAUUGGUUUUUCUUUUUUUUUUUAAAUUUUUCCCCAUUUUGCGGAGCAAAUACCUGUUCUCCGGAGACUCUUCGAGGUAUUGUUAACAAAUUUUUACA